rnacentral:misc_RNA from 1 species
GUGAAUCAUCAAAUUUUUGAACGCAAAUUGCACUUUCUGGUAUUCCGGAAAGUAUGCCUGUUUGAGGGUCAGUAAAAUAAAAAUCGGUGCUGUUUCUGCCUUUCGUGGUUACGCGUCGGAAUUGAGUUGUCUUACCUUCGGUUAAGUGACUUAAAAUUUUGCAUGAUUUUCUGACGUAUUUAAAUUGCUUACGUACGCUUGGGAUAUCGAAUGCUUAUUACGUUCGGUCAUUCCCUUGGUUCUCGCCUA